GCACCAGUAGCUCAGCUGGAUAGAGUAUCUGACUACGAAUCAGAGGGUCGGCGGUUCGAAUCCGUCCUGGUGUACCA
rnacentral:tRNA from 1 species